UACGGAGGGGGCUAGCGUUGUUCGGAAUUACUGGGCGUAAAGCGCACGUAGGCGGCUAUUCAAGUCAGAGGUGAAAGCCUGGUGCUCAACAUCAGAACUGCCUUUGAAACUAGAUAGCUAGAGUCUUGGAGAGGUCAGUGGAAUUCCGAGUGUAGAGGUGAAAUUCGUAGAUAUUCGGAAGAACACCAGUGGCGAAGGCGACUGACUGGACAAGUACUGACGCUGAGGAGCGAAAGCGUGGGGAGCAAACAGG
rnacentral:rRNA from 1 species